rnacentral:rRNA from 1 species
AUUGAACGCUAGCGGGAUGCUUUACACAUGCAAGUCGAACGGCAGCGCGGACUUCGGUCUGGCGGCGAGUGGCGAACGGGUGAGUAAUGUAUCGGAACGUGCCCAGUAGCGGGGGAUAACUACGCGAAAGCGUAGCUAAUACCGCAUACGCCCUACGGGGGAAAGCAGGGGAUCGUAAGACCUUGCACUAUUGGAGCGGCCGAUAUCGGAUUAGCUAGUUGGUGAGGUAACGGCUCACCAAGGCGACGAUCCGUAGCUGGGUUGAGAGGACGACCAGCCACACUGGGACUGAGACACGGCCCAGACUCCUACGGGAGGCAGCAGUGGGGAAUUUUGGACAAUGGGGGCAACCCUGAUCCAGCCAUCCCGCGUGUGCGAUGAAGGCCUUCGGGUUGUAAAGCACUUUUGGCAGGAAAGAAACGUCGCGGGCUAAUACCCCGUGGAACUGACGGUACCUGCAGAAUAAGCACCGGCUAACUACGUG